rnacentral:rRNA from 1 species
GACGAACGCUGGCGGCGUGCCUAACACAUGCAAGUCGAACGAAACUUAGAAGAUGAAGUUUUCGGAUGGAAUCCGAUAAGUUUAGUGGCGGACGGGUGAGUAACGCGUGAGGAACCUGCCUUUCAGAGGGGGAUAACGUCUGGAAACGGACGCUAAUACCGCAUAACAUUUUCUCUUCACAUGGAGGGGAAAUCAAAGGAGCAAUCUGCUGAAAGAUGGACUCGCGUCCGAUUAGCUAGAUGGUGAGAUAACAGCCCACCAUGGCGACGAUCGGUAGCCGGACUGAGAGGUUGAACGGCCACAUUGGGACUGAGACACGGCCCAGACUCCUACGGGAGGCAGCAGUGGGGGAUAUUGCACAAUGGGGGAAACCCUGAUGCAGCAACGCCGCGUGAAGGAAGAAGGUCUUCGGAUUGUAAACUUCUGUCUUUAGUGAAGAUAAUGACGGUAGCUAAAGAGGAAGCUCCGGCUAACUACGUG